UACGUAGGGGGCAAGCGUUGUCCGGAAUCACUGGGCGUAAAGGGCGCGUAGGUGGCGCUGCAAGUCGGUGGUGAAAGCUCGUCGCUCAACGACGAGUCGGCCAUCGAAACUGCAGGGCUCGAGCACUGUAGGGGCAGAUGGAAUUCCCGGUGUAGCGGUGGAAUGCGUAGAGAUCGUAAGGAAGACCAGUGGCGAAGGCGGGUCUCUGGACAGUUCCUGACGCUGAGGCACGAAGGCCAGGGGAGCAAACGGG
rnacentral:rRNA from 1 species